rnacentral:rRNA from 1 species
GACGAACCGUGCGAACGUUGUUCGGAAUCACUGGGCUUAAAGGGCGCGUAGGCGGGCAUUCAAGUCAGGGGUGAAAUCCUCCAGCUUAACUGGGGAACUGCCUUUGAUACUGGGUGCCUCGAGUGAGGUAGGGGCGUGCGGAACUGAUGGUGGAGCGGUGAAAUGUGUUGAUAUCAUCAGGAACUCCGGUGGCGAAAGCGGCGCGCUGGACCUUAACUGACGCUGAGGCGCGAAAGCCAGGGGAGCAAACGGG